UGGGACCAAACCGAAUGUGUAUUGAAAUAUCCCUCGGCCAUAGAAGAGUGGUGGAGAGAAUGUUGCAAUGUCCUUCACUUUAGUCUGAAUCUUCCUAAGUACCAACGUAUAGUUCCCUGGUCUGGCCUCCAGUGCUUCAGAAGCACCGCCAACCACCACAACACAUGAAUGACCAGGGCCCAUUUUUGUCAAUAUGUGUUUCAAACUUUCUCUUGAUGCUGGACAUAUACCCAUGGCCAACAAAAAUUCACGAAGAAAUGGAAUCUUAAACUGGAUGUUCAGGGUUAUUAGAUGCACAGUAAGACCCGGAAAAAGUUUUGAAAAUCCAGUUGCUUCCGAGGCGAAAUUCCCCGAUGAUCCAACAGCCAUAACGCCAUGAGGAUGGCAGCCAAAGAGGUAAUUCUUUGAUUCAUCUAGCUCAUGCGUUUUUAUUAAACGUAAUGGAAAGUAUUCGGCGUAAUAAUUCCAUACUUUUAACCGCCUCAUAGCGGGAAAAUAUCGGCCCCCUCUGUGAGGUGUAUCCUUGUCAAUAAUGUAAAUCCAAGCUAGAUACAACAGCAAAAAUAUUCUCGUGAAGAGAUUAAUGUACAAUAGGAAAAGACAAACUAGUACACAAAAUAUAUGACCAAAUAUAAAUGUAGAGCCAACAAUCCAAACAAGAAAAGUUUGUCGACGUCUUUUUACAGGUAUUUUAAGCGGUGCCCACUCGAUUCCAAAAGCUUUCGCCAUGGUGGAAGUUUUGCAAGACUAGCAAGUAUUUGUUGAAUGAAAACAACUUAACAAAAUGGAAGCAGUUCAAGGUCCAAAGUGUCAAACAUUCACAUGUAAUUACAGGAAGUCACAAGACUGCAUCAAGAGUCCAAGACUCAAAAAUGAGGCUGUUACAUUUCAUUUGUUGCAAAAUCAUCGUACGACAUGGCUACAUCUUACAACUUUUUCCUUAAUACACAUAUUAGCUUUCUAAAGACAGUCGAACAGCAUAGAGGAGGGCUGACCCUAAGAAGGAAAGAUAGUCCAAAUUUCUCAGGGCAGGCACAUGUAGAAAACGCCAUAUACCAAGCAAAAACAGAAAAUUAUCAAGUUACAGAUUACGGAACACGUGAUUACAUUAUGACGUAACUAUUCUUUGGUUUCUCACAAAACAAAAUUAAAUCCAAAUGUUUUUUUAAUAUUUAUUACACAAA